UACAGAGGUGGCAAGCGUUGUUCGGAAUUACUGGGCGUAAAGGGCGCGUAGGCGGCCUUCUAAGUCAGACGUGAAAUCCCCCGGCUUAACCUGGGAACUGCGUCUGAUACUGGAGGACUUGAGUGCGGGAGAGGGAUGUGGAAUUCCAGGUGUAGCGGUGAAAUGCGUAGAUAUCUGGAGGAACACCGGUGGCGAAGGCGGCAUCCUGGACCGACACUGACGCUGAGGCGCGAAAGCCAGGGGAGCGAACGGG
rnacentral:rRNA from 1 species